GUUUCUUUCUCAUUUCAAACUCCCUUUUCCCAGAGAAAAAGCCAUGGCCGCCGUUGGAGAAAUGCCCAUUGCCAUCCCUGCGAAGAAAGCCAUUGAAGCAGAGAAAGGAACUGUUGAAGGAGUUCAAACCCACUCUGAACUUCCCAAUUCUGAAAUCCCUGGGAGAGAAAGAAAAGGCCGGCAGACCUUAUCUGUUAUGGUGCAAAGACCAGUGGAGUGAGGAAGGAGAAAGAUCUAUUGAAACCAAAGCAACCAUUGUCGGCUUUUUUCGUGUUCACCAUUGAGAGACGUGCUGAGAACAAUAAUAUUGUGAAAGAGGUAAAUCAUGAAUCCCAAUCUCAUCAACUCAAUUACUAUACAUUUAUAGGGUUUUUUUUGUCACCAAAAAAAAGACCAGAAACCACCCCAUGAAAAAGUGAGUUAGCUUGAAACCUUAAUAAAUCUCCCAUUUUUAGUAUUGCUCUAAAAUAAGGGUGCUUUCUCCGAAAGGAAUGAAAUUCAAAAUGGAUUUCAAACAUGGAAGGUUUUUUGAACCGGAUGAACAAUGAAAACACUCCUCUCAAGAAUUGGGAAACACUUCUCCCAUGGAGCCAUGUUAGUCAUAGACUUGUGGCAAAAACAAACAAUAAUGAGCCG